rnacentral:lncRNA from 1 species
AACAACGCCCCUUUCAUCUCUACUAUACUUUAAUAGAAAAAGGGUGCCACGAUCGGGAGACCAUGACGAUGAACUCGAAGACGCCGAUAGCAGGGACGACCGAAUCACGAACGCCAGGUGGAAGAAUGUUGACCAGUGAGUUUCCAUGUUGACCCACAGACAACCUCAGUUUGUUCGAGCCGCGAAUGAGGUAUGAAAAUGCUUAUUACUGUGCAUGUCAGUUUUAUUAGAUGGAAUUAAUCAAUUUGGUAAAAAUGAGUAAUGGGUCUCGACAAUUUUUUGAGAGUAUCUAUGUUGCUUCCAUUGUUUUCCAUCGAUUGGGUUAGUUGUAGGUUAAUGAUUGUUGUAAAUGCAUGUUCACCUGAUUUUGAUUGAAGAUGGCUUCAGCUACAUUAUGCUGCCUUGUGAAUGAUUGAAGAUGGGUAUGAAAAUUUUUUAAUUGUUUAAGCUAUUGCCACUGAUUGUUUGGAUUCAUGCUAGUUUUUAUUAAAUUACAGAUGUAAUUAAGUGUUGGAGAUUCCUUGUGCCGCAAUAUUAAUAUUUUGAGGAUACUUGAUUUUGUUUUUUUUUCUUUUUAUCACGAUAUGUACAUGUCUUGGUUGAAAAAAUGUCAUGAUUUGCUGCAUUCUCUCACACUGGAGCAGUGAGUUUAGUGGUUUUAAUUCUUUUCUUCUCUUUGACUAUGGCUCUACUUCACUGCAUUCAGAUGUCUUUAUUUGUCCAGCGUCAAAUGAUAAAGGAACAUAGUCUCCUUUUGAUUUCAGUUUGUCUUUCUGUUUUGCAGCCAAGAGGUUCUAACUACCAUCGAGAGUGAAAGGCUCUCCAAGUCAAGGCACAUAGCUCCUGCUGCUCUUGUUACUUUCCCUGAAGAUUUUGAUAAUGGGCUGGUGAUUAUUUAGUUUGGUUUCAAAUUAUGUUCUCGACAUUGUAUUUUGAAAUAUUUGGUUGGUGAGAUAAAGUUUAUUAUUAUAUCUCUAAUAUGUGAGAUGGGAUAUUUCAAGAUGGUAUUUUGGUUACAAUGUUUUAUUUGGUAUUUACAAUGUAAUCACAGCUCUUGGCGCUAAAACGGAUAUGAC